GCCUGGGGACUACAGAUUUGGGCAAGUGGAUAUUUUGAUGACGGUGAUCUCCAAGCUAUUGUUCUGAAGGGAUCAUAUCUUAACAGCUCAGAGGAAGAAAGAUUUACCUGUGGAAGCACGAAGAAGCAGGCAGAGUGCCUAGGGAAAACCAGGACAAACUUAACAGUUACAGAUUUUUAAGGCCUCGGUCACCUGAGACCUGCCUUUCAAGGGA
rnacentral:lncRNA from 10 species